rnacentral:rRNA from 1 species
AGUCACUGACAUUAGAUACCCGCGUAGUCCAGGGUGUAAACGCUGCAGACUUGGUGUUGGGACCCUACGGGGUGUUCAGUGCCGGAGAGAAGUUGUUAAGUCUGCUACUUGGGAGUACGUCCGCAAGGAUGAAACUUAAAGGAAUUGGCGGGGGAGCACCGCAACGGGAGGAGCGUGCGGUUUAAUUGGAUUCAACACCGGAAACUCACCAGCGGCGACUGUUACAUGAAGGCCGAGAUGAAGACUCUGCUAGAUUUUCAG